UACGUAGGGCGCAAGCGUUGUCCGGAAUUAUUGGGCGUAAAGAGCUCGUAGGCGGUCUGUUACGUCUGCUGUGAAAACCCAGGGCUUAACCCUGGGCUUGCAGUGGAUACGGGCAGACUAGAGGCAGGUAGGGGAGAAUGGAAUUCCCGGUGUAGCGGUGAAAUGCGUAGAGAUCCGGAAGAACACCGGUGGCGAAGGCGGUCUGCUGGGCAGUUGCUGACACUGAGGCGCGACAGCGUGGGGAGCAAACAGG
rnacentral:rRNA from 1 species